rnacentral:lncRNA from 14 species
UGCAAGACCCUGGAGAUCCAGCAGCCAAAAGCAAUCCACGUAGAAAAACCUAGGAAAGGUGACAACGGCUCUAGUUAGCAGCCUCCUGCAGCAAAGACCGAGGUUGGCCACUGGAGCGCAGCACUGAGCCAAGGACACCGGACCUGUGGGGCGUGGUGGCGGAUUGUGUUGUCUUCCCUAUGGAGAUGGGGGCGCCGCUGCCCCACCUACCUCCCCAGGCAGCAAGCCUUCAUUCCUGCCCCGUGCAGAGAGGAGACUGCUGCCCGACCACCGACCACCGGUCACCGGCCACCGUGCUCAGACCUUGGCCCCUCCAGGAGAAAUAGAAGAAAGUCAUUUGCCGAGAUGUCACUUGGAAACCUUUCCCUGAAAAGUUUGGAAGUGGAGAGUUUCCACACACGGUUCAGUGCCUGGACACCUUUUAAGAACCAGUCCUUAAAUAGACAGCUCUUUCAAGAAAGAGUUACUCUCAUAAGUCACUGGUUUGACCUCUGGACCAACAAGCAACGGCAGGAAUUCUUAUUCAUGAUCCUUUCACGAAGCUCGAAGUCACAAUUAAGGUUCAUCCAAGACUGGCUUUCGGAAAGGAAGCAGGUGGCCAGAGUGGAUUUCUCGACA